AAUGAACGCUGGCGGCGCGCCUAACACAUGCAAGUCGAGCGAGAAAGUUUCUUCGGAAACAAGUACAGCGGCGGACGGUUGAGUAACACGUGGGAAUUUCCCCUUUAGUGAAGAAUACUCUCGAGAAAUCGAGACUAAUACUGCAUAAGUCCCUUCGGGGAGAAAGGUGGCCUCUUUGCUGCCGCUAAAGGAUAAGCCUGCGGACUAUCAGCUAGUUGGUGGGGUAAAGGCCUACCAAGGCUAUGACGGUUAGCCGGCCUGAGAGGGUGAACGGCCAGACUGGAACUUAGACACGGUCCAGACUCCUACGGGAGGCAGCAGUGGGGAAUAUUGCGCAAUGGGCGAAAGCCUGACGCAGCGACGCCGCGUGGAGGAUGAAGGUUUUAGGAUCGUAAACUCCUGUUAAGUGGGAAGAAAAGUCUGUCUUUAAUAGAGAUAGAUCAUGACGGUACCAUUAGAGAAAGCACCGGCUAACUUCGUGCCAGCCGCCGCAGUAACAC
rnacentral:rRNA from 1 species